UUGUCGAAACCUGCAAAGCAGACACGACCCGCGAACAUGUUGUGAAAAUAAAGGGGUUGCAUCGGGCCUUGCCACGAUGCUUCCCUAUUGGGGGCGGUGCAUAAGCGACCGAUUGGGCUAGUUCCAUCCUUUGUUUUGCACUGUCCUCCAAACUAACAAAACCCGGGCGCAAAAUGCGCCAAGGAAUCGAAAACAAAAAGAGAAGGGAAUGAGCACCUUUGCGUUCCGGGGACGGAAAUCUUGAGGUUGGCUACUUUCCGUAUCUAAAAAUCAAACGACUCUCGGCAACGGAUAUCUUGGCUCUCGCAUCGAUGAAGAACGUAGCGAAAUGCGAUACUUGGUGUGAAUUGCAGAAUCCCGUGAACCAUCGAGUUUUUGAACGCAAGUUGCGCCCGAAGCCUUCGGGCCGAGGGCACGUCUGCCUGGGUGUCAUGUAUCGUUGCCCCAUCCAACUCCUUACGUGAGACAAUGGACUAGGGGCGGAAAAUGGUCUCCCGUGCGCUCCCGCUCACGGCUGGCCAAAAUUCUAGUCGUUGGUGAUGGUGCCACGGCAAGCGGUGGUUGAUAAAACCUUCGAAAAAUGUCGUGACCAAGCCAACAAAAGACUAUUUGACCCUGUCCACUCCCAACAGCGACCCCAGGUCAGGCGGGAUUACCCGCUGAG
rnacentral:rRNA from 1 species